rnacentral:rRNA from 1 species
CAGCGCCACAAGUGGGGGCCAUGAUUAUUGGGCCUAAAGCGUUCGUAGCUGGUUUUGUAAAUCUUUUGUGAAAUCGUUGUGCUCAACACAACGGCGUGCUCAAGAGACUGUCAAACUAGGAACCGGGAGGAGUCAGAGGUAUGCACGGGGGAGCGGUAAAAUGCAAUAAUCCCUUGCAGACCACCUGUGGCGAAGGCGUCUGACUAGAACGGAUUCGACGGUGAGGGACGAAAGCCAGGGGAGCGAACCGGAUUAGAGACCCGAGUAGUCC